GAAGCUCAGUGGUUUGAGCGUGGUGCUGACAACGACUGACACCUAGGUCGCGGGUUCGAUUCCCGCUCA
rnacentral:tRNA from 1 species